rnacentral:tRNA from 1 species
UGGCUUGGUAGCUCAGUUGGUAGAGCACUUGAUUGAAGCUCAAGGUGUCGGCAGUUCGNGGAGGGGUAGCGAA